UUCCGGUUGACCCUGCCAGAGGCCACUGCUAUUGGGGUUCGGCUAAGCCAUGCGAGUGGAGGGCGUCCCGCAAGGGAUGGCCCCGCAGACGGCUCAGUAACACGUCGUCAACAUACCCUGGGGUGGGGGACAACCUCGGGAAACUGAGGAUAAUCCCCCAUAGGUGGGGGAGGCUGGAAUGCGCCCCUGCUGAAAGCUCAGGCGCCCUAGGACGGGGCGGCGGCCUAUCAGGUAGUUGGUGGUGUAACGGACCACCAAGCCUACGACGGGUACGGGCUGUGAGAGCAGGAGCCCGGAGAUGGGGACUGAGACAAGGCCCCAGGCCCUACGGGGCGCAGCAGGCGCGAAAACUCCGCAAUGCGCGCAAGCGUGACGGGGGAACCCCAAGUGCCGCUGAUCUUUGAACGGCGGCUUUUCGGGAGUGCAGGGAGCUCCCGGAAUAAGGGCUGGGUAAGACUGGUGCCAGCCGCCGCGGUAAUACCAGCAGCCCAAGUGGUGGUCGCGUUUAUUGGGCCUAAAGCGCUCGUAGCCGGGCCGGUAAGUUCCCCGUGAAAUCGGGUCGCUCAACGAUUCGGCUUGCGGGGAAUACUGUCGGUCUUGGGGCCGGGAGACGCCGAGGGUACUCCGGGGGUAGCGGUGAAAUGCUGUAAUCCCUGGGGGACUACCAGUGGCGAAGGCGCUCGGCGAGAACGGGCCCGACGGUGAGGGGCGAAAGCUGGGGGAGCGAACGGGAUUAGAUACCCCGGUAGUCCCAGCCGUAAAGGAUGCGGGCAAGGUGCUUGUCGCUCUUCGAGGGCGCCAGGUGCCGUAGAGAAGUCGUUAAGCCCGCCGCCUGGGAAGUACGGUCGCAAGGCUGAAACUUAAAGAAAUUGGCGGGGGAGCACCACAAGGGGUGGGACCUGCGGUUCAAUUGGAGUCAACGCCGGA
rnacentral:rRNA from 1 species